AUUGAACGCUGGCGGCAGGCCUAACACAUGCAAGUCGAACGAGUGGCGGACGGGUGAGUAAUGUCUGGGAAACUGCCUGAUGGAGGGGGAUAACUACUGGAAACGGUAGCUAAUACCGCAUACCAGCGGAUGUGCCCAGAUGGGAUUAGCUAGUAGGUGGGGUAAAGGCUCAACUAGACGACGAUCCCCAGCUGGUCUGAGAGGAUGACCAGCCACACUGGAACUAUGGCGCGGUCCAGACUCCUACGGGAGGCAGCAGUGGGGAAUAUUGCACAAUGGGCGCAAGCCAGAUGCAGCCAUGCCGCGUGUAUGAAGAAGGCCUUCGGGUUGUAAAGUACUUUCAGCGGGGAGGCGUUACCCGCAGGAGAAGCACCGGCUAACUCCGUGCCAGCAGCCGCGGUAAUUG
rnacentral:rRNA from 1 species